rnacentral:rRNA from 1 species
ACGGGGCCCGCACAAGCGGUGGAUUAUGUGGAUUAAUUCGAUGCAACGCGAAAAACCUUACCUACCCUUGACAUGCUAGGAACUUGCCAGAGAUGGCUUGGUGCCCGAAAGGGAACCUAGACACAGGUGCUGCAUGGCUGUCGUCAGCUCGUGUCGUGAGAUGUUGGGUUAAGUCCCGCAACGAGCGCAACCCUUAUCAUUAGUUGCUACGCAAGGGCACUCUAAUGAGACUGCCGGUGACAAACCGGAGGAAGGUGGGGAUGACGUCAAGUCCUCAUGGCCCUUAUGGGUAGGGCUUCACACGUCAUACAAUGGUCGGUACAGAGGGUUGCCAAGCCGCGAGGCGGAGCCAAUCCCACAAAGCCGAUCGUAGCCCGGAUUGUAGUCUGCAACUCGACUACGUGAAGUCGGAAUCGCUAGUAAUCGUGGAUCAGAAUGUCACGGUGAAUACGUUCCCGGGUCUU